rnacentral:lncRNA from 1 species
GCUUCAGACUCCACCAUCUCCAUCGACUGCGCACAUUCAAUUUAAAGAAUUCCAGGAGGUGCAGGGGUGACGUUCUCCUCCUUGAAGACGGCAAUACAUUAAACAACAGAUUCUGCGGCAACCUUGGAACUCUCAGUGAAGGAGGCGACACUGACCUUUUGAAUAUUGUUUUCAAGACAAACAGAAGAGGAAAAGCUCAAGGUUUCUCCUGUGUUGUGUCCCCUCUGGCAAGGUUCAGACCAUCACCCAAGUCACUACUGACGUCACUGACAUCUCCGUCGACAACGGUCAAUGCUCCAAGUGUGGCACAGUGAACCGCGUCACCCGCAUUGUGGGAGGAGUGGCGACGGAGGUGAAUGAGUACCCCUGGCAAGCGGCACUCGUUGUAAAGGGAACCAACCAGGUUUUCUGUGGUGCUUCUCUCUAUAAUGAUGGUUACGUUGUUACGGCUGCUCAUUGUGGAAGCAAUAACUGAUUAUGGGAUAGAUGUGGAGGUUCUCCUAGGGGCACAUGAACUGACCAGCUCCACCAGUGCCCAGCAGCGUAUUUCUGUAGAAAGGAUCAUUAACCAUGAAAGCUAUGACAGCAGUACACAAGAUAACGACAUCGCUGUACUAAAGCUUGCCACAAAAGCUUCUUUGAAUGAAAAUGUUAAACCCGCUUGUCUUCCCAGCGUCAGUGAAGAUUAUACCGGCUUCACCGCCACUGUUUCUGGAUGGGGAACGUUGAGUUCAGGCGGUAGUCAACCCGAUGUCUUACAAGAGGUUCAGGUUCCAGUGGUCAGUAACAGCGAGUGCCAGCAGUCGUAUGGUAACAGCAUCAGUGACAUGCUUUGUGCUGGUUACGAUGCUGGUGGGAAGGACUCUUGUCAGGUCAGUGUUCACGUACUCUGGAACAAAUACAAGGAAUCUCUGUAUGAAAUAAAUGUAUUUUUUUUCAGGACGAUACAUAAAUCAUAUUAAAAUGUUGGCAGGGUGAUUCUGGAGGUUUGGCUGUAAGGAGAAUGGCAAGUGGGUGUUGGCAGGUGUGGUGUCAUGGGGCUAUGGGUGUGCUAUGCCCAACUACCCAGGAGUCUACGUUCGGGUCACUAAGUAUUUGGACUGGCUGAAGGCUAAGACGAGUGAAGGAAGCAACGACUUGUGUUUUUCUGGUCAAGGGUCAGGCUCAACCACUAAGACUCCAGCAGCAACUACCGUCCCUUCAGCUACAAGCUGCAGUAUGUAUAACGUAAUCUGUUGUUGUCUCUUUGUG